AGCAGUAGCCGCGGUAAUACGUAGGUGGCAAGCGUUGUCCGGAAUUAUUGGGCGUAAAGGGCUCGCAGGCGGUUUCUUAAGUCUGAUGUGAAAGCCCCCGGCUCUACCGGGGAGGGUCAUUGGAAACUGGGAAACUUGAGUGCAGAAGAGGAGAGUGGAAUUCCACGUGUAGCGGUGAAAUGCGUAGAGAUGUGGAGGAACACCAGUGGCGAAGGCGACUCUCUGGUCUGUAACUGACGCUGAGGAGCGAAAGCGUGGGGAGCGAACAGGAUUAGAUACCCCCGUAGUCCCUGUCUCUUAUAC
rnacentral:rRNA from 1 species